GACGAACGCUGGCGGCGUGCUUAACACAUGCAAGUCGAGCGGAAACGAUGUAGCUUGCUACAGGCGUCGAGCGGCGGACGGGUGAGUAAUGCCUAGGAAAUUGCCUUGAUGUGGGGGAUAACCAUUGGAAACGAUGGCUAAUACCGCAUAAUGCCUACGGGCCAAAGAGGGGGAUCUUCGGACCUCUCGCGUCAAGAUAUGCCUAGGUGGGAUUAGCUAGUUGGUGAGGUAAUGGCUCACCAAGGCGACGAUCCCUAGCUGGUCUGAGAGGAUGAUCAGCCACACUGGAACUGAGACACGGUCCAGACUCCUACGGGAGGCUG
rnacentral:rRNA from 1 species